GCCAUACCACCCUGAACACACCUGAUCUCAUCCGAUCUUGGAAGCUAAGCAGGGUCGAGGCUGGUUAGUACUUGGAUGGGAGAAUCUUGCUUGC
rnacentral:rRNA from 1 species